CAGAUGCUAAUACCGGAUAACAACAGAUGAUGCCUAUCAACUGUUUUAAAAAGAUGGUUCUGCUAUCACUCUUGGAUGGACCUGCGGUGCAUUAGCUAGUUGGUAGGGGUAACGGCCUACCAAGGCGAUGAUGCAUAGCCGAGUUGAGAGACUGAUCGGCCACAGUUGGGACUGAGGCACGGCCCAAACUCCUACGGGAGGCAGCAGUAGGGAAUCUUCCACAAUGGACGCAAGUCUGAUGGAGCAACGCCGCGUGAGUGAAGAAGGGUUUCGGCUCGUAAAGCUCUGUUGUUGGUGAAGAAGGACGGGGUAGUAACUGACCUUUGUUUGACGGUAAUCAAUUAGAAAGUCACGGCUAACUACGUGCUAGCAGCCGCGGUAAAU
rnacentral:rRNA from 1 species